AUGUUUGGGGAAACUGAAUAUGAUCCAACUCGACAGUUCAGUUCGGUUGAUAUAGAGGAACAACUUGACGCUCUUAGUAGAGCCAUUGAUGCUGGAAAAGUGAGUGAUGAUAUCGUUGGGUUUGCCUCUAUAAUAAAUCUUUAGAUAACAUGGAAUUUCCAGUUAUAAUGAAAAACUUUGUUCAUAGAUCAGAUAUAUUGGUCUCAGUAAUGAAACACCAUCUGGCGUUAUGAAAUUCAUUCAGAUUACCGAAUGAGUUCCUAGCCAUCCUAAGAUAGUAUCAGUGCAUGUUGUAUGAGGUUUUCUGCUUUAUAGUUGCAAGGCUUGCUGUUUUUCUUUAGCAUUUUUUUUCCCAUCUCUCUCUUUCUCUACUUUAUUGGUUGUAAGGCUCAUGUACAACUCAUUGUCUUUGUGAUAGAACUCAUACAACUUGCUUUGUCGAACUUUUGAUUCUGGAAUGGCUAAGUGCUGUCACCAUGAGAGGUAGUUUUGUUUUCGAUAUAUUGAUUACUGAGGGUGGAAUUAUAUUUGAUCUUAUCAUGUAUGAAAUGGUGAUAAAAAAAGUGCUCAACUUACACAAGUCAAUUAGUUGUACUAAUGGAAAGACACCUAUUUCUUUAUGUUGAAAAUUGGAUAAACACCUAUUUCUUUAUGUUGUUAAAUUUUUCUCUCUUUUUUAGUCAUCAAAUUUAAGCUAGGACAUUACUUUGAAAUUGUUACAUAAAACUGUAAUAUCUCUCUAUUUUUUGUUUUACUUUAAUCUUUGGUAUACAGAUUUCAAGGCUUUGAAUUUAAAGCUUGAUAUCUUUUAGAUCAUUGUUCAAUAACUGUAAAGCAGUCUCAAGAUAUACAAAAGGAUGGAUUUGCUAAACAACUCAUCUGAUUCCCAGCACCAGUGAGUUUCUAUACUUUCCCCUCUACAUGUGAAUCUAUAAUUUUGAGAAAUCUUGGAUGAAAUCGUGAAAGCAUAUGCUUAAGAUUAUUAAUUUAUUGGUACGACCAUAGUUUGAGCCUAGUACUAAUAAAGGUUCAAUAAAAUUUAACAACUUGUUUUUAGCCUACAUAUUAUAGUAUCACAAAAAUAAAUGUACAUACAAUUAAAGUCGGUAACAUAUGCAGGGACGCAGACUUUGACCUAAGUGACGACAUUAUACUCACAACAUAUUUAGUCGGGUGUGCAUGUCUAGCUUAUGUGGAGACCUAUAUGACCAAAGUACCAUUGCAUACGAAUAUACAAACAGGCUUAGAAUAGGUACAAUAUAUAUUAGGCGUAAAUGCACUUUUAGUCCCUACAUUUUGACGUUUUUCCAUUUUAGUCCCUACAUUUUAUUUUUUCCACUUUUAGUCCCUAAAACCAAUUAACGCGUUCCAUUUUAGUCCUUUCCGUCAGUCAACCAACGGAAAUAGCUGAGGUGGCAGCCGGAGCAAUUAAAAUAUUAUAAAAAUGCCACAUCACCCAUGACACAUCAGCAUAUAAAUUUAAAAAAUUAAUUUAUUAAUUUUAACAAAAUUUAAAAACAUAAAAACAAAAUUUAAAACAUAAAAAUAAGUCAGAAAAUCAAACCAAGAACACAAACUCAAAAUUAAACCCAUUGAAUCAAAUUAAACCCAAAACAUCUGUCAAUCAACCCACAACCCAGAAAAUCAAUUACCUCUUCUCUCACUCUUCUUUCUUCUUUAUUCUUUCUUGGACUCUCUCUCUCGAUUUUUUGGCAGUGGAUUGGAGGGGCUGUGGAUCAGUGAUGGGUCUUGUGAUUUGGGUGUAGUGGGUUAAGAUUUUGGCCGGUCGUGGGUUUGCUCGCCGUGGGUCAGUCGUGGGUUUGCUCGCCGUGGAUCAGUGGUGCUCGUCGUGGGUCAGUCGUGGGUUUGCUAGCCGUGGGUCAGUGGUGCUCGUCGUGGGUUUGCUCGCCGUGGAUCAGUGGUGCUCGUCGUUUGCUCGCCGUGGGUCAAGCGUGGGUUUGCUCGCCGUGGGUGUGUUGUGGGUUUGCUUGCCGUGGGUCUGGGUUUGCUCACCGUGGGUCUGUCGUGGGUUUGCUCGUCGUGGGUAUGGGUUUUGUUUGCUGUGGGUUAGCUCGCCGUUGCCAUUAGCCCCAACUCCACUUGCCUUGCUUCUUGUGUUGAGUAUGAAGUUCAUGGAAUUUUGAUGCUGGGAUUUAAAAAAAAAAAAUAGGAAAAUUGGGUUUGAUUUGUGUUUCAGCUUGGUGGGUUUUCUUUCUGGGUGUCAUUUAUUGAUUCAGUUGUUAGAUUCGCAGUGUAAUUAUUUUGUGCUCUAUUGGGAUUCUCUAAAGAAUCAAGCAUGAUGUGCGAAAUGUUUAAUUUUUGUUGGAAUGUUGGUUUGCUCGUAUAGAUCUGUGUUGCGGGCUGAUGAUGGAUGUUCUUGUGUUUGAUUUGAUUCAAUGUUCUUGGGUUUAAUUUGAUUCAAUGGGUUUAAUUUUGAAUUUGUGUUCUUGGUUUCUCGCCGUGGAUCAGUGGUGCUCGUCGUUUGCUCGUCGUGGGUCAGUCGUGGGUUUGCUAGCCGUGGGUCAGUCGUGGGUUUGCUCGCCAUGGAUCAGUGGUGCUCGUCGUUUGCUCGUCGUGGGUCAGUCGUGGGUUUGCUAGCCGUGGGUCAGUCAUGGGUUUGCUCGCCGUGGAUCAGUGGUGCUCGUCGUGGGUUUGCUCGCCCUGGAUCGGUGGUGCUCAUCGUUUGCUCGCCGUGGGUCAAGCGUGGGUUUGCUCGUCGUGGGUGUGUUGUGGGUUUGCUUGCCGUGGGUUUGGGUUUGCUCACUGUGGGUCUGUCGUGGGUUUGCUCGUCGUGGGUAUGGGUUUUGUUUACUGUGGGUUAGCUCGCCGUCGCCAUUAGCCCCAACUCCACUUGCCUUGCUUCUUGUGUUGAGUAUGAAGUUCAUGGAAUUUUGAUGCUGGGAUUUAUAAAAAAAAAAAAAAAAAGGAAAAUUGGGUUUGAUUUGUGUUUCAGCUUGGUGGGUUUUCUUUCUGGGUGUCAUUUAUUGAUUCAGUUGUUAGAUUCGCAGUGUAAUUAUUUUGUGCUCUAUUGGGAUUCUCUAAAGAAUCAAGCAUGAUGUGCGAAAUGUUUAAUUUUUGUUGGAAUGUUGGUUUGCUCGUAUAGAUCUGUGUUGUGGGCUGAUGAUGGAUGUUCUUGUGUUUAAUUUGAUUCAAUGUUCUUGGGUUUAAUUUGAUUCAAUGGGUUUAAUUUUGAAUUUGUGUUCUUGGUUUGAUUUUCUGACUUAUUUUUAUGUUAUAAAUUUUGUUUUUAUGUUUUUAAAUUUUGUUAAAAUUAAUAAAUUAAUUUUUUAAAUUUAUAUGUUGAUGUGUCAUGGGUGAUGUGGCAUUUUUAUAAUAUUUUAAUUGCUCCGGCUGCCACCUCAGCUAUUUCCGUCGGUUGACUGACGGAAAGGACUAAAAUGGAACGCGUUAAUUGGUUUUAGGGACUAAAAGUGGAAAAAAUAAAAUGUAGGGACUAAAAUGGAAAAACGUCAAAAUGUAGGGACUAAAAGUGCAUUUACGCCUAUAUAUUAACUGGAAAUGAGAAGAAAUGUCGAAGAAAUUUUAGAAUGUCAAGCUGUGUAUUUGGACAAUUGUGCAAUACACUGCGCUAGUAUGGAUAUUAAGAUACUAGAAGAGUUCGCGUGGAAGAGUCUCUGGCAAUGACAUUGAUGGUACUUAGUCAUGCUGAGGGUAACAGAAUGGUGCAAGAAAGAUUUCAGCACUCGGGUGAGACAGUGCAUCAACACGUGGCCACGGUAGUUACAUAUUUAGCAUUUAGAUUGAUAUUGGCCACAUUUUGAGGUACUUUGUGAAUUUGGUAUCUUGACUUGAUUUUAUUCAAAUUAUCUUUAUGGUCAUACCACGUAUUUAAUUUCACAUGGUAUUUUUGUAGCAAUGGUUAGGGUUGCAUUGGUGCGAUUGAUGGGGUCUACGUCCCUGUGGUCGUACCAGUUGACAAGCAGCUCCCGUACUAUGGCAAGAAGGAGACCACCACAACAAAUUGCAUGUGCACAUGUGACUUUGACAUGAAGUUCACAUUCACAUGUGUUGGAUAGGAAGGGUCAACGCAUGACACGAGGAUUCUUUUAAGCUGCCUCAAUAAUAAGAGUUACAACUUCUCAAAAGCUCCAGUUGGUUUGUAAAUAUGCAGUUUAAUUACAGUAUUAAAAUAUGCAUUAAUGCAAUGAAAGUGUUAAUGUAAUAAACAUGUUCAUUUACAGGAAAGUAUUAUCUGGUUAAUUCAGGAUACCCUAUGAGGAAAGGUUUCCUUGCACCAUAUAAGGGGUAGAGGUAUCACAUUGGAGAAUUUCGGCCUUCUGAAGUGCUGCAUCGUCUAGAGGAGAGAUUUAAUUAUCUCCAUUCAUCACUCCGUUCGACUAUAGAAUGAACUUUUAGAGUUUGGAAGAAUAAAUGGAAAAUUUUGAUAAAUAUGCCACCCUUUCACAUACGCACUAAAAACUUGAUCAUUGUUGCUACAAUGGUUCUUCACAAUUUCAUUAGAGCACAUGAGAUAAACAAUGACGUUGAAUGUUCUAGAUCUACAGGGGGCACAUCUGGACGUAGUGAAAGAGGUCAUUACAAUGCCGUGGCAGAAGCAAUCUCAAUCUUGGACAAUCUUGAGAUGAAACAGGUUCGUAUUGAUAUCAUAGCAUCGAUACGUGCGGACGAUAACUGAUUUUUGUGGGGACUAUAACUGAUGGUUCACAAACUUCAAUAAUGUAAAUGCAUUUGUUGUUGUAUUAUUGGUAAGCAGAACUGAGGGCUCACAAAACUUGAUACAUCUCACAUUAACUCAUGGAAUUGUUCUGUUGUGAAGCAUAAGGUUCAAGUGUUAAAUCUGCAUCUUAGAAACUUUCAGGACGCUUGAUAGGCAUAUCCAAAUUCACACAAAAGAAUGUUUUGUUGUUGGCAUAGAGUGUUUAUUUUUACAAGUAGAAUUAAGGCCAAUUAUCACUUUCAUACUAGAUUGCUCAAAAGAGUGUUUUGUUGUUGGCAUAGAGUGUUUAUUUUCACAAGUAGAAUUAAGGCCAAUUAUCACUUUCAUACUAGAUUGCUCAAAAGAGUGUUUUGUUGUUGGCAUAGAGUGUUUAUUUUCACAAGUAGAAUUAAGGCCAAUUAUCACUUUCAUACUAGACUACUCUUAAGAAAAUUUAUGAUACUUUAGUGUUAAAAGAUUUAUUGAACACUCAAAACAGAUUUCCAAUGACUUGUAAAAUAAAUUUGCAUAAUAAAGGCAAAAACAAAUAGUUUUUCUUCAAAUAGAUUGUAAAAUAAUCCAAAUGAAUGACAUAAUUCGCAAAUGUGAUUUAUUUAAGUGCCAUUUAGCCAGAAUAAUAUCUAAUACAAAAGAAUCCACAUCAAACCCUAAACAAAUUUUAGCUACCCCCAAUAAUUAAGAUUGUACUCUUUCUACUACUUUACAACCUAGCUUUGGGUCAAAGACAAUACCAAUCUCUCUAACAUUACAGAGCAAAGCAUCACGCCCAGUUAAAACUACAUGAAAAAAGCCAUCAUAUUGGUUUGUAAGAAGAUCUAGUCCCUGUGAAAGUCCUUCUGCUCUCCUUGCCAAAUUUGAAACGGAAUUUUGGAAUGCUUCCACUUCAAUAGGGUCCACACCAUCUUGGAUCAUAAGAUACAAUUUCUUUACACUUGUAUCAACUGCUUCGAGCUUUUUCGAAACUAUAAAUCUUCCAGUUGAAUAUAAAUUUCUAAUUUCUCUAUUAAUGCUAGUUUGCAAAUCGGUCAAAGCUUAAGCCCACAUAUAUUUGUCAUCAACAUUCAAAUCAAACAACUUUCUUGUAGAACCAGAGAAGGCUGAAGCAAAGACACUGCAGAUAAAUAUCGUCUCCACCUUAAACCCAUAUAUAGCACGCAUUAAAACCUUCCCUUUGGCUGAGUUCUUAACCUUGGAAAGAUCCAGUGAUUCCACAAGCUUGUUCAAAAUAGGUGGACCAGUUUUCAACUCUAGGGUUCUUUGAACAAAUAUACUGUCUCCAUGCAUCAAGUGAAGAUCGAGCCUUGAUAAAUUACUUUGAGAAGUUGGAAUCCAAAUUGUGCAGCACACACUAAAGCAAGAGAUGGCCCUGGUUCACCCUUGAGAUUUCAGAGCUAAAAGCAUUGCAUAUAUUGAGCAAAUUCACACUGAUGUCCAAGAAAGUUAAAACGAGUAGGGAUGACAUUAGAAAACCCAUUUGGAAAACCAUAAGACAAAGCACCAAUUUCUUGCACCUAUUUGAACAUCUGAUUAACUAAUUUAUGCACAUUGGCUAAGUAACUAACUGACUGCAAGCUUUGCUUAUCUUAAUAAAAUUCAGGCCCAUACACUUCAAUUAGUAACAACCCAAUGAAUGUGUGCAAGUAUACCUAGUACUCAAUCUUAACAACAACUAACAUUGUUGGAUGGGCUUUGAUAAGACUGCAUAACCAACAGCAUAGCCACAGAUACAACAGUAAGCAUAAGUAUGCGCAAAGGUAACAGGCAGCAUCAACUAGGCUAUGCAGUAAGCAGCUUAGAUAAACAUUAAGGUUACUUACACAGGAAUGAAGGCUCAAGUCAGCAACAAUACCGACGCAGGCAGGCACUAGGGUUUAACAUAAGCCCUCUAGAAUACUAGCACCAAUUAUCAGCUCAAUGCCAGGCACAUCAGCAUUAGUAUAGCAACAAGCAACAGAGUAUAUUAGAAUCAGCACUGCAACAAUGCUAAACUUGACAGUAAACUAAGCUAAGCUAAGGUCAUAAUAGAUACAGCCUAAGGACUACAGGGGAUUAGGAGACCACAGUAGGUUCUUAGCAAACUACUUAUCAAAUAACUAGUAAAUUAAAAAUAUAUGCUUUAAAUACUGGGUCACUUAUUAGUUUUUCACAGACCAGCAACAAUCAUUGGGUAGUAACAAAACUACACAAAGCACAUAAUAACAUAAGCUUAAUAGACCAAAUGCUUGGAAAAGGAUGAAAAUUAUAUUUUCACCUAAAAAUUUUAGUUUUAGACUUUUAGUCAAUUUUUUUAAUAAGUAAUGUUGAAUGUGCUUAUGCAUCUGAACAUCUUAAACACAUUCAAUUGUAACAUAUAGAAAGCUACAAGAUGUAUCAUUUUUGUCAAAGGAACCAAAGAGAUUCAAAGAAACAUUACAUUUUCUGAGCAACGAUUGUCAACCCUGUGAACACUUUCAAUGGUUAACUGAAACUUGGAAAAGUGUGGGCACUGCAAAAAACAAAAUCAAUGGAUAUUAUUACUGGGGAAAAAAAAAAACGAGUAACAUUUAUGGAAUUUUAAAAAUCGAUUGGAAAGGGGAAAAAUACCUUGAGUAUUGGGUAAUAUGACAUCCAUUCGCAGAUAAAACCAAAAAGACAUUAAUAUAAGUAUUUUAAUUAAAAAAAGAAAAAGAAAAGACAAGCAUAUUAUACAAGACUGAAGUCAAGAGAACUCACAUGAAACGAAAAGCUGAAAAAUUUACAGGAACAUAUAUUUAUGGGAAGAUAGGUGUCAUGGGUCGGAGCUCGAGGGAUGGAGGGGAAGAGGGUGAAAUGGGUUUAUGGAAGGAAGAGUAGACGCCGGCUUUGGACUGGGGUUGUCUUUCUCGUGGAUUUCUCACCUGGGCUCUUCGCUGGCGUCGAACUGAUGUAGGUCUUCCUUCAUCAAUCUCUGGUGGGCGUAGAACUCUCCAAAGGCACAGGCUUAGCUAGGGUACGGUGAGGAGUGAAAAAAAAAAAAAAGAGUAAAACUUUGGUAUUUAUUUGCUACAAUACUUUUAGCCAAAUAAUAUAUUAUCCACAUUUUUUUCACUUAUUUGCUACAGUAUUUUCAGUUUCAGCAAAAUAAGUUCUAUACAUACGGACCUUGCGUAACAAUUCAAAAUAUUAUUUGUACUUGUUUUUAUAUUUGUUAUUCACACUUAUUUAUUUAAAUAAUAGAAACAAUUAUAUGAUUUAUUAGGAGAAUGCAACUGGAUUUGAGGGAAAAUUUUGUCAUACGGCCGGAAUCAACCAGCUGUAAAAUUGUUAAUUUUUUACUAGAAACCAGAAAUAGAAAAAAAAAAAAUAUAUAUAUAUAUAUAUAUAAAUAAAAAAGAAGAAGAGAGAAAGGCUUAAAUUUGAAUCCAAUGAAUUCAAAAAAGUACCAUUUGCCGCUUCUUUUUGUAGGGAAAAAAAGGGUUCAAACUGAAGAAACCUCUUCUGAGUUAUCGCUCACAGGCUUCACACAGAGACACACAAAGGCCAAGUCCAAGCCAUGGCUGUGAUCUCCAAAGACUCCCAAGACACAAACUCUGCUACUGAUCCUCUCUUAUCCUGGCUCUGGUACUCUCUCUCUCUCUGUCUCUCUCUGAAGCAUUCAAACAAACACAUUAAUGGCUUUUGUUGUUGUUGUUGUUGUUGUUGUUAUGUGUGUGGUUAAUGGUGAUGAUUUUUGGUGUGGUGGAUCCGAUUCCAGGUCGAUCAAGAAAGCACUUCAAGAAAAGGAUGAUUCCGGGUUAGAUCUCACAAAGCUUCUCUCCGAUUGCUUCGACACUUUCAAGGACAAUGCCCAGUACCGAAACGACCUCAGGUUUCUCAAGAUUUGCUUCCUCUACGUAAUUUCCUCCUUUUUCUUUUCCCAUUUCUCAAUUUCUUCUAUUUUGCUUUAAAAAAUGUUUAAUGGGUUCACUUCCUUUGUCUUUGUAAUUCACAUUCACUUUAGUUUCAAUUGCUUUAUUAGUUUUGUUUGUGUAUACUAUAUGCGUGGCUAUUAGGGGUUAUUGCCUUUCAUUUUCAAUUGGGCUUAAUGGGUUAUUACUUUUAGGCUUAAAAUAUUUGUGGGUUUUCUUGGUUUCUCGGUUUCAUGUAACUGACCCCAAAAUUUUGGGACUAAGGCGUGGUUGUUGUGUUUGUUUCACAAUUAAGUUGCUUUAAGUUGAACUGGGUUAGUCUAUAUAAGUCGUUUUGUUUUCCAAUUCAAUUGCUUGGGUUUUGUUUCUUUAUGGUACUUUCAUGGAUGGUUGAGUUUUUUCUAUAGAUUUAGAUUUUUGAUGGGUUCGUUUGGUUUCUGUAUAUACUGAGGUUUUGGUUGGGACUUACUUGUUUUUGGGUCAUUUUGUUUCACCGUUAAAGUUGCUUAUAUGGUGCUUGUCUGUGUUGGUUGAAAAGUUUGAUGGGCUUAAUUUGGCGUUCUUGUUUUUUGUAGAUGGACGUUAGUAAUGAUUUUGAGAAUGUUUUUAGAGAAAUGGUGGAGAGUGAGAUAUGUAUUGACCAUUCUAUGCUUUAUGUAUGCUACGCGUCCUUUCUUGAAUUGAAACAGAAGUUGCAUGAUGCUCACCUGGUUUAUCAGUAUGGAAUGUUGAGGUCUCUCUCUUUUUCCCUCCCCAAUUUGUUUGUCUGUUUGUUUCUCUCUCUCGGAUUGGAGGUGCCUUAUCCUUUUGGUGUUUCAAGUUGUGUCAUAACACUUGUAAUGUUACCCUGCUGCUAGGAAUGCCAAACCGGUUGAGUUGUUGAAGAAAGCGCAUGCCUUAUUUCUUGAUAGAUUGUCUGAAUCGGUGAAUGCUUGUUCACUUCAGAAGGUAUGUUCACAUGCCGAAUGGUGCAGCUCUUUCUUAAGGAAAGGGUGGAGGGUUGAAAUUUUAAUUAGCUGAACUUCAUAUCCAUAUGCUGUGUCAAGAUUCAUCUUUUUUCCUUUCCAUUUGCAGAUUGGUGAAGGUGAAUCCAUUGAGUUUGAGAAAAGUUACAUUAAUCCAUGGUCUGCCUCCACCGUGAAAGACCUAUUGAAGAAGCUGAAUACUCAAAUAAUAAAAUAUGAUGUGAGGCAGUAUGGUCUUUAUCUUCUGCUUAGUUUUGCAUAUAGUAAUCUCAUUAAUAGUUGGUGUUGUAAUUGCUUUUUGAUACAUGUUUCAGGGAUACCAUCACAGUACAAAAGCUUAUACAGGAAAAGUGACCCUAUCUUCUUUAAAGAAGUCAUCAAGGAACAAGAUUAUUGAGAUAGGUGAUGCUCCACAUUAGAUUCAUUUAUUUUGAUAUAUACACAUCAAUAUAUCAAACUGCCAUUAAGAAUUUAGUUUUACAUGAAUCUUUCUCUUUGCAUAAAAUAAUUUUUCAAUGUCAAUCAUUUGCAUGAACUUUAUUUGAUUUAAAAAAUGCAAUAGUUUAGCAGUAGAAAUAAUCACUCUAAUUUAUCAUCGGAUAUCUAAGAUUUUCGAACAUGAACAAUAAGUUAGUUUCUAAAAUUAUGAGAUCUGACUUUCUUGAGCUGACUAUAGACAAACAGAAGUGCAUUCACACUUUUAAACCAGAUUGAAAAUUCUGGGGAAGAACUGUUAUUCAAUUCUGUUAUCAUAGAAUGAAAUGGAAGAGAGAAACUCUUGCCCUCUUUCUCUCUUUCUGUAACGGAUUUGAAUGGAUUGGAAUAUUAAGUUGUUGAAACAAGUUAUUGAGGCAUUCUAGAAAUUCUUGCUUCUCAUACUUAAUAUUCAAGUUCUAGCUUUUUACCAAAAAUGUAAGUAAACCCCUGAAGUUGUGUCUCAUAUAAAUAAUUGCUUGCCACCAUUAAUUUAUAGUUGUCAAAUAAAUUAGUACCAUUCUGGAGCAACAUAUGUGCAUUUCCAUUUUUGUCGGUUCUGUUUUUUGGCCAUUUCUCUUGAAGGAUAUCACUUUCUUAGGUUUUUAUGCCUAGGGAGGAAGAAAACAUAUCUCUGAGUUACCAUUUUAUGAUUUCUGAAUUUUAAAUAAAGGCAAGAGUUAGAUACUAGGACUCUAGGAGCCCAAACUUGUUUACCCUUGAUUGUGUGCAUUGUGAUACUCAAAGGUGGAAAGAAGUACCAGAUCAAGGGUUGUGCUGGUCAAGGUGGUUUUGCUCAAGUAUAUAAAGCAUAUGUCAACAGUAAUCCAGAUGAAGUUGUUGCACUAAAGGUAAUUGCUAUCUUUAGUAUUCUCCUUCUUGACCAGAUUUCUUGUUGGAUUAUAUCAGUCUUUGAAAUUUCUGGCAGAUACAAAAGCCUGCUUUCCCUUGGGAGUUCUACAUGUAUCGUCAACUAGAUCAGCGCAUUUCAGAGAAGGAAGUAUGCCUUUUUCUAGUGUUCCAAUGUUUAAUGUCAGUUUCUGGUUUUAGUUAUUCACUUAUUCUUUAUAUCUCGUGCAAUCAGAGAUCAAGCUUUGGCAUUGCUCACAGAAUGCAUCUCUACUCAGACUAUAGCAUACUUGUCUUUGACUAUCUAGCCCAGGGAACUCUUCAGGUUGGUUUAUCAUAUUUUUUAUAAUCUAUGUUAUUGGUUUUAGUCCUCUGUAAUACUCAGGCUACAAAUCAACCUUGGGCAGGAUGCCAUAAACUCCUAUCUGGUCUCUGGCAAGUCCAUGGAAGAGGAGUUAUGCAUUUACUACACAAUAGAGAUGCUCUAUAUGCUAGAAACUUUGCAUGGUGCUGGCAUCAUACAUGGUGAUUUCAAGCCUGAUAAUCUGCUUAUUCGUUAUUCUAGGUAACAAACUUUUUCAUUGUGGAUCGUUAGACUCAUUACUGUGUCACUUUUAAAGGAACUUUCAUGAAACAACAGAGUGCAAUUUGAACAUGUUAAUGACAGCUUUUGGUUCAAUCUCUUAUAUAUCAUCAGAAUGUUAAAUUUCUAUUUUGGUCCUCCAUUUUGCUGUUUUUUCUUUUAAAUUCUGAUUCCUGGCAUAUUUGUAUGUGGUUGUUUGUAAAAAGCUUCCAUUUUUGAUGUAUGGGAGAAAAUUCAUCUCUCAAAAAUGGCGAUUGCAGUAUUUUGAUAUUGUUGCAGCAUCAGAUUGUUAGACACUUCCUAACCUACUAAAGACACUGUUUUUCAAAAUUAUCAAUUGCUGGACAAAGUUGCUGUACACUCUUUAUGCACAUUCACUGCAUCACAUAAGAACUGUAAUAUAGGCAAGUCAUACAUUAUCUCAAAAAUUGGUUUGUGUUUGAUAAAGUCUAGCCCCAGCUUUACCAGCUUCCCUUUUUGUCUUGGCAUCUUUGUUGGAUUUUUACCUUCUAACUUGUAUAAUACUACUGUUCUUGCCAUGGAUUCUCACACUGCAUAACUUAUAUCUAUCCACAAUAAAUGAAGAAGAAUAUUUUUGUAUGUCAACCCUUUUUUUCCAUGUUUCAUAAUGCUGCCAAAAGAUAACCUAUAUUUCUCUAAUGCAUAUUUUCUCAUUAUCAGACACUAAUGUCAUUAUACUACGUGCAAUUUGCAGAUAAUGUCUUUUUGAAUUUAAUUACCUGACUGUUUUGGCAGGGGUGACCUUCUAGAAGAUGGUUUUCGUGCCCGAACUGGUUCUUGGCAAGAUCAGGUAAUUUCUGUUUGUAACUUUGCAUCACAGCCUAAAUUUUAUUUUAUUUUUUGAGUUGUUUGUAAUUAAUUAGAAUUUUAUUUUCCAGGGUCUUUGCCUUGUUGACUGGGGGCGGGGUAUAGACCAACAUCUCUUUCCUGACAAUACAGAGUUUAAGGGAGACUGCCGGACUUCUGGCUUUCGCUGUAUUGAAAUGCUGGAGAAUAAGCCAUGGACAUAUCAGGCCAGUCUCCACUUACAUUGUAUAUCAAAUGCAGUUGCUAGCACUAUUAACUAACUUCAUAUUAGACCUUUUCUUUUAUUUGCCACCAGGUAGACACAUAUGGCCUUUGUGCUGUUGUCCAUUUGAUGCUGCACAAUUCUUAUAUGAAGAUUGAAAAGAAAGCAUCAUCUGAUGGUGGCUACAUUUAUCUACCCAAAUCACCUUUUAAACGGUAUUCGCUUAUAUCUGCAUAGUCCUAGGCAUCUGUUGAUAUUACUGCGCACUGUUCUCUUGAUUGAUGGAAGAGGAUGCAAUAGUUAAUUUUUCUUAAAUUUUUAGUAGAUGUCAAUUCAGAAAUUGAGAUAUAUAGGACCGUAAAAAGAACAUCUUUAUGAAAUCUCUCUUAUAUUUAACUCACUUUCAUACUUUUUGUUCAAUUGGCUUCAGAUAUUGGAUUAACCUCUGGAAGGAUUUCUUUACCAAGCUGCUUAACAUGAGCCCUGGCUGUGAUCACAUAAAGUUGUUGCAGAAUUUGAGGGAAUCAUUCCAGGAUUACAUGUGCUCUCAACCUCAGCUAAUAAAGAAACUAAAGGAGUUACUGGUGAAGCAAAGGGCUUCCUUGUGUUCUGCUUAGUGUCUUUGGUCAUUUCCACCAAAUCUUAAUUCUUAAAUUCAUGGAAUUGUCAAAUUUAUGCACAGUUCAACAAAAGAAAAAUUAGGUGAAACUCUUUAGGUUAAUUUUACCUAGAAAUACAUACACAUCCUUGGACCCCAUAUUACGAUUUCUGAGAAUGUUAAAUUACUCUUCCGCACCCCCCUCCUCCCUUCCUUCCUGAAGUCAGUUGAGUUAAUGAGAGGAUUUGUCUGAUGGAGCACUUGCAAGUGUGAAGCUUUCUGUCUUCAGAAGAAUAGUUUAAGCUUGUAAAGAAUGUAGUGAGUUGGUAUGCUUGUAAAUUUUAGCAAAUUAGUACUGUUCAUUUCUGUGUAUCAUAUUCAAAUCUGUACUCUUAGUGGCCUCUUGUUUUAGUUCAUUGAUUUUCAUCACUAUUUCAGCAUUCUUUUCUCGUGUUACCGUUUCAUACCCUUUCACUUUGUUUCUACUAUGGUCCACUCAUACUCUAAUAUGAUGUAAAGCUGAAACCCAAAAUAUUUGCCUCUUGCAAUUCUUUCUUCCAAUUCAGGUGCUUGGGCUGCUGAGCAGACGUGUUUCGUGUUCUAAUAUAGAACUACUCAGCAUCUCAAAAAGUCUCAACAUCCAUGGACUUGGCAAGAAUUAAGCUGUAUUAACCACCUUUUUUAACAUACCACCAUGCUGUUUAGUCAGGAGAUGAGGCUUUGUUCUGGCACUUUUCAACCUAAACUAAAGUAGCUCUUCUCCAAACCCUGAUUAUUGAAAGCCCAUUGGAAUAUCCACACUCCUUGCCCUGCCUUGAAGAAUACUUGAAGAAUUAUAAGUUUCAGGUCAUGGAGACUGGUGUCAGAGAAAUUCUACUUCAGUAUUGUACAUUAUUUGUUAAUUGUACAAUGUUUGCAUCAUGUGUGCGUAUAACCUACUUACUUUUGAUUUACUUUAUUAUCAAAUUAUUCAAAUAUGAACAAGAGUCUUGUAGCUUAAAGCAGUUCAUGAUGUUCUCAACGUUCAUGAUUCAAAUCCUGCCUCAACUAUUAAACUACAUAUAUAAAAAAAAAUUUCAACCAUCUAGAUAUUUAGAUGUAUGGAUAUAUAUAUUGUUGGAUUAGAUUAGCACGACAAAAUGAUCACAUAGUGUCUACCGAAAGCAUUAGCUGCACUUAAAUUCAUAGUCAACAAACUUGGAUGGUUCUCUUUCUUGUCUAGUCACUACCAUAUAAUCGGAAAAAAAAAAAAUAUUAUAAUGGAUAAGAUCAAAUUGCAAUAAGGAAAUUACCAAAAGAUUAUCGGUGGAGAUUGGGACAUUGGGCUACGUAGCCCAAGCCCACACGCUCACUCUCCCUAAUACUCACGAGUCAACUCACUCACUCACUCACCCACUCCCUCACUCUCUCACUCACCUCAGUGGCACAAGCGUGAUUUAAGCAGGAUAUGAAGGUGAAAAGCGUAAUUGAAAGAGAAACCCUAAAUGGCUGCAUAGAAGUUUCCCAUUUAUAUAUAUUGGGAGCCACCUUCGUGGUCAUCGUCUUCACCUGACAUUCAGGACGUAGUGUUCUCUCUCUCUCUCUAAACCGUUUCUCUCUCCUUCGGCGACCUUCUCAGGUUAGGGUUUUUCUUCUUCGAUCUCGUAGUCUCAGAUGUAUGAGAAUCGAAAACGAAACGUUUCGAGCUUGCUAAAUUGUGAAUUUGAUUGUUGUGUGGUGAUCUUUCUUUUCCUAUGCUUUUUGUUUGUUUGCUGAGGAAAAAAAUUGAGCUAAACUAGAGGAAAUGAAUCCGGUUCGAAAUGACGUGGUUUGUCAUUUCUUGUUUUUUGUUGUUUUUGUGGGGUGAUCUUUGCGAUUUUGCUUUCAUCUUUUUUAUUUUUAAUAAUCUGUGUUUGGUUGCUGAGAAAAUUGAAUAAAAUGAUAGAAAUGAGAGUCCACUAUGUUGUGUUUGUACUGGGAUCUUUGUGAUUUUGCACUCAUUUUCUUUUUACGUUGUUUGGUUGCUGAGGAAGUUGAGCGAGAGAGAAAGGUGAAGAGCAUUUCAAGCUAAUUUAGUUUUGUACAUUUUUUGGUUUGUAUGAUGAUAAGUGGAGAUCUUUGAAGUUGGUUUCAGUUUUGGGUUUCUUAUCUGAUUGUUUUAUGGAUCAGUCUAAGAUCUGAACACUUAUUGUUUAGCCUAUGUUGAGGAAAAGAAAGAAAAUGAAAUCUUGGUCUUAAAGUUUAGUAUCCAUUGCAAUUAAUUGCGGUACUUGAAUCAAGCCUCAGUUUUGUGAAACCUAGUGGUUUGUUAUGCUCAAUUGUGUGGAAUUCUGUCAUUUAUUUUUUAUUUUUAUUUGCACAUCUUUUAUGCAACCAAUUAGAACCAAUAAUAGUGUACACUCUAAUGGGUGGGGCAUUGUUCAAAGUAAUGGGAUGAUACUUUUUGUUUGUAAUGAAAUGGUGAAAUGAUCACGUGCUGGUAAAAUGAGCUUUUAUUAUUAUUGUUAGUUUGAAUAAAACUGGUCUUUUAAAGCAGUGUUAUGAAGGUGAAAACCCUGUAUGAAGUCUUACAAGAUUAAUUAGCUGUCGUUCUGUUAUUUCAGCAUUUCAUUUUUAAACAAAAUGAAGACGUUCAUCCAAUUAAAUUCAGAAGUGCCCUUUGUGGACCUUUGGAAUUUUAAUUCAAGUCUUGGUACAGUUGCAAAAUAUCUUAAUCUUCACUCUGUUAGCUGUUUUUAAUACGUGGUGGUGCGCCUGAUUGUGGUUUAUGCUUGCUUUGUUUCCAUGCUCUACAUAUGACUAGCAUAAUAUAACAACAUUUCUUUUAUUACGUUUGUAAUAGAAUUGCCCGUGAAACAAAUGGCUAUUCCUUUCAUAGUGUGAUUUACAAAAGCCUAUCCAACACUGAAAAAUACAAUAAGAAUUUAUCUGUAUUGCAGUGAAGGGUAAAAAAAGGGGGGGGGGGGUAAGGUGAUUUUCUGUUUUGAGCUGUUGUAUGGAAAAAUUCAUUUUGUCACUUAUGGUUGGAAGAUGCAAAUUUUAUGUUUUUUUGCAAUUGUGUGUAUAUGGUAACUGAAGAUCCAAUAGUGUUUAGAAACUGAUGUUGAUUACCCUUGCACAUUUUUGUGUGUGUAUGAUAUAAUGUUAUUCCUUUGCAGGUCACCGUCUUGGGUCACAAACAUGGCGGAUGGAUCACAGCAUCUGUCAGUAUUUCAGAAGAUACACGGGCAGUCUUUCCUUGUUUCUAG
rnacentral:sRNA from 1 species